rnacentral:rRNA from 1 species
GAGUUUGAUUAUGGCUCAGAUUGAACGCUGGCGGCAUGCUUUACACAUGCAAGUCGGACGGCAGCACAGAGAAGCUUGCUUCUUGGGUGGCGAGUGGCGAACGGGUGAGUAAUAUAUUGGAACGUACCGAGUAAUGGGGGAUAACUUGCCGAAAGGUAAGCUAAUACCGCAUACGCUCUGAGGAGGAAAGCAGGGGACCUUCGGGCCUUGCGUUAUUCGAGCGGCCAAUAUCUGAUUAGCUAGUUGGUGGGGUAAAGGCCUACCAAGGCGACGAUCAGUAGCGGGUCUGAGAGGAUGAUCCGCCACACUGGGACUGAGACACGGCCCAGACUCCUACGGGAGGCAGCAGUGGGGAAUUUUGGACAAUGGGCGCAAGCCUGAUCCAGCCAUGCCGCGUGUCUGAAGAAGGCCUUCGGGUUGUAAAGGACUUUUGUCAGGGAAGAAAAGGUUGUGGCUAAUAUUCCAUGACNGAUGACGUACCUGAAGAAUAAGCACCGCA